ACCGGGAGGGUGUGGAGGAAGGGCAGGGCGGAUCGAGGGUGGAGUCCCCGCACUUGGGUGGUGCAUGGAGGACUGGAGCCCGGAGCGGGCUGGGACUGUGGCUGGAGCAGUCCAAAGAGGGAGGGCAAGACGUUACUGUGGGACUCGAGGGAGCCGAGACUUCGGAAAGCGAGCCAGUGUCCUGCUUCCCAAGCUCCGUCCCCGGAGUCUGCUUCCGACAGCCCAGUCGCUGGAGUGGCGGAAACAAGUCUCUUGAAGAGGUUGAUUGAGAAGGGGUGAGAGCAAAACAAAAAAGAGGUGUUUUGUUUUUGUUUUUUGUUUUUGUUGUUGCUUUUAUGAGUAGGAAGCGAGGAAGGAGCCGAGGAGGAGUCCCUGAAGCUACAGGAGAGAGGGCAGAUGACUGACAGGGCCAGGUGGGGGGAGAGCGGAGGGCUGGCCUUUAGGGCUCAGGGAGAGUCGCCUGGAACAAGACAGAGGAGUGGCCGCCGGAGCUUCAGCGUGAGGGCGUGCUUGGGCAGCCGUGCGGCUUCAGUUCCAGCCAUGACGGUCCAGCCAAUUACUGGAGAGAUGAAAGGAGGAUUCCUGAGGUUAAGAUGGAUUCUGUGUACCGAUUCCAGAAUUCAAAGGAUUUGCUAUUUCUUCAAACUGUGCCAUCCAGUCAUAUGCUAAACAUGCCCUUUUCGUCAUGCAUAAGACACGGUGGAAGUAUUGAGCUGGGCCAGAUCGAGGAUAUGAUUCGGGACGCUGUGAAAUGCUUCAUCAAAGGCAGCCCCUUGCCUGCGCCGCUGCCUUGUCAGUGUGCAACCCGGCAGGAUGACACGAGACAAGAACAAUCCGGUGUUCCCUGCCCUUGCUGAGACCCCAUGGGCCCCUGGUGGCCACACUCAGUUCUUCUCAGGCUCACAAAAUACCUUUGUGUGUCUUAUUUGAGGAUUUUUGCCUACAAUCAUUGUCAAGGCCACUGACUGUAGUUUCCAACAUUCAUCUUUCUUCCCAUCUUUGGGAGUCAGAGCUGCACUAUCUCCAGCCGUCUUGUAAGGUUUUUUGGCAGCAGCGAAAAGAAAAGACAGAGAGGGAGAGAGAGAGUGGGGACCAAACCAUGUGGCUUUAUUAUACACUCCUGGAUGAGGUUCUGGGGCCCCAAGAGAGGGGAGCCCCAGAAGUCGCCCCUGUAUGAAGUGGUUGAGGCCUUUUAUACCCUUUGGGCGGGACUAGGGAUUUUUGGUGGGAAGAGCUGGGGAUUUUAGGAGGGGCUGGA